rfam:Spinacia oleracea cultivar SynViroflay scaffold17154.con0004.1, whole genome shotgun sequence.
AGCCUAUUAGCUCAAAUGGUAGAGCAAUGUGUCACGCACAUAUAUGUAGGUUCGAGUCCUACAUAGGUUG